AAUAAAAUUCUUUUCUGCUUCAAAAAAAAAAAAAAAAAAAGAGCUGAAUUGGGCCAGAUGAGCCCAAUCAGCUAAUUAGGCUGCAAACAGGUGAGCUUUAGGUUGGAGGCAGCUAAUUAGAGAGAUGCUCACCUGUGAGGGAAAGGUGAGGAUUCUACAAAGACAGGAAACUGGAAGGAGAGGGGCUCUAGGGAAGGAAUCUGCAGUUGCUCUCUGGGAGAAGGAAGGAAGGUGUGUUUGAGGGGCUGCUGAGACAAGUUGCCAAAAGUUACUCCCUGGGAGGAGGGAGUGAAGAGACUAACAAACCCAGGAGUGUGGGGAAGGCCAGGGGAUAUGAAAGCAGCUCCUGGAAAGGCAGCAAGGUACAGGAAAUGGGCAUUAGCUGCUGUAUUAGAGGCUUCCUGAGUCAGAACCUGGAGUAGAGAGUGGGCCUGGGUUCCCCUACCAGCCGAUGUGGGAGUGACACUGUGAGGCAGCGAAGCGGAAGACUGCCUGAGAAUACUGAAAACUAGGAACCUUGAUGCACUCACCCAUGGAAGGGGAAACCACAAUAGGGACCUGGCCUGAGGGAAUAUCCAUGAGCAGAUUGGAAGCUCCUUGUAGUAUUUGGAAUUAUUCAGCCACUGUUUCAUUCUAUGUGAAGAAUUCAUGAGCCAUAUGCAGAGAUGGGCGCAUUCACUGGGAAGAUGAGGGGCUUGUAUUCAACUUUUCCUGGUAAUGUCCUCUACCUCAUUCAGGCUGGAUACCACACCUCUCCAAAUAUUGGCCUGCUUACAGCUGCACUGUGUAGCUCUUCUGUUCACUUGCUGAUCCAGUCUCCGAUCACAAAGGACAAGGCAGCUGAGUGUUAAACAUAUGGAGUUACAGCAACCUGUGAUCCAUCCCGCCUCUGUGAUCAGCACAUGGAGAAGAACUCAAAGCUUGCCUACAAGUUAUAGGCAUGAACAUGGCUGGCGGGUUCCCAUAAGCCCUGGAGGCAAGAGGAUUAUAGCAAAUCCAUAGCAAUGGCACAAAGGAUACCUUAUCCCCACGUAGCAGCAGCAGAUGAUGGUACUCUUCUAUACAUUCCUCCUCUGCAGGGAAAGAGUGUUGAAUGAGAGGGUCCUGAAGAAGAGAGACAUUGAUGAACCCAGAGGUGUACACAGAAGAAAAAAUAGUUCUGGGGUUUCUGCCUUCCUGCCUCCAGAACACCUUAGCAUUGUUUUAUGGCUGUAACCCUAUCAGUCUUCAUUUACCCCAUAUGCAGCACAUCAAGCGCAGAGGUAGAUUAUCCAACCCCCAAUUUACUGUGGCAGAAAAAGAAGAGACAGCAGCGUCAUCAUUUUUAACUUUUUGGAGGGGGUCAAAUACUUUGAGAGCCAUAUAAGUACCUGGAUAAUAGGUCCCUGCACCAGGGACCAUGCCUUUCUACUUAUGCUGUAAAGUACCUAGCUAAAUUCUGGGCACUGUAAAAUUAAUAAACCAUCUCAGACAGUUUUGAUUGUUUUGUUAUACCUCAACUCAAUAGAUAUGCUCCCUUCACUGUCCAUAUAUAAUUUAACAUGAAUAAAAAUAAAUAGUAUAUUUCAUGGAUUAUUGAUAUCAUAAUGGAUUUCUAUGCUGCACUUAAUGCAUCAGCAUAUUUUUAUGUGCU